GAUGAAGAACGUAGCGAAAUGCGAUACUUGGUGUGAAUUGCAGAAUCCCUUGAACCAUCGAGUCUUUGAACGCAAGUUGCGCCCGAAGCCAUUAGGCCGAGGGCACGCCUGCCUGGGCGUCACACGUCGUUGCCCCCCCAUCUACUCCUUCGGGAUUGCGGGGGGCGGAUGAUGGCCUCCCGUGCGCCUCGUCGCGCGGUUGGCAUAAAUGCCAAGUCCUCGGCGACACACGCCACGACAAUCGGUGGUUGCGAAACCUCGGUUGCCCGUCGUGUGCGGUCGUCGCGCAUCGAGGGCUCGAAAAAAUUGCCGGGCUCCGGCUCGGCUUUCAACGCGACCCCAGGUCAGGCGGGGUUACCCGCUGAAUUUAAGCAUAUCAAUAAGCGGAGGA
rnacentral:misc_RNA from 1 species